CCUUUCCCUCCAUUUGUCUUUCGCUUUCCCUCCAUUUGUCUCGCGGCUGCUCGUUCUUGCUUUGGGUAACAACUUCAACCUCCAUUAAUCUCGCUUUGUCUCUCCCUGCAACAUUCCAUCUCCGCUUCUAAACCCUAACCUCGAACCCUUGAAUCUCUCCUCCAAUUUCUACUUCCGCAACUGAUGUUCCGCCAGCUCUGUUGAUUUGUUCAGUCUCCCUAAGUUCUGCGAGGGCAGGAUUUUACCGUUCUGGGCAGUGAGGGCUUUUUGGAGUGGUUAUUGUUCUUCUUUGUUUUUUUCUUCUUGUUGCUGGAGUUGGUAUGGCGCAGUUGACAUUUUUAUUCAUUUGAGGGAUUAGAUGGGGGAAGAAGUUUAAUCUGAACUACAACUUGUACACCUUCCUAACGCCUAAGAAUGUUGCUACUGCUGCUGCUGCUGUUUGAUAAACAAAUGUGAUUGAGCAACAGAAGAAGAGGAGGAAACAUUCUGGUAAACAAAUGUUUUCUAUGUGCCGAAGAUGCUGAAUCUAUGGAUCACAUUUUGCUGCAAUGCCGGUGGACUAAAACCUAUGGGACUUGGGUAGGCACUGGUUGGAUAAAUCCUGGUAUAUUGCAGGGAUUGUUGAGAUGGAGAUUUGGAACUAAUAGGAAAAUAACUUCAUCAUUAAUCCCUCGCCUUUAUUAUUAUUAUUAUUAUUAUUAUUAUUAUUAUUAUUGUAUCGCGGAAGAAGAGGAAUUGAAGAGGAAUUGAAGAGUUUUUGAAGAAGCAAAUGCAUCUUUCACAAUUCUUGAAGAUAGAUGAUUUAGUUCUCUAGCUAGCUGUUCAUGGCUGCCAUGCUUUAGAUUUACAUGUUGUUUUUGGUUUUUUGGAUAUUUUGUGUGACAAUUGAUACUCUUCUAUUUGUGUGUGUUAUUUAUUUAUUUUUUCUUUUCUCUUUC